GCGGGAUAGGAAAUGUAGCUUUCCCUGCCCCCUCUUGUCCGCCGGGCUAACAGAGUCGUGGGCCAGCCUGAGGGCCCAGCCCUGAAUCCAGGCGACCCCUGGACACCCUGCUCAGGCCUGCACAUCUCCGCCACCAGGCCGGGCCCUGUGAUGGAGCGUCUGUGGGACGCUGCCUUUUGUCCUCUGUGCCGAGCCCCAGGGUCUCUGGAUGGUCAUAUCCAAGGACUGCAGGGCCGGAAGGAGCCAUACUUCAUUGCUGAGCUGUUCCGGGCCGCCGACAAGAAUAAGGACAACCAGAUCUGCUUUGACGAGUUCCUCUACAUCGUGGGCAGGCUGCUGAGGGACUACCACCUGCAGUACCACCGGCAGCUGUGUGCCCACUACUGUGCCCAGCACAACCUCUACUAGAGGGAACGUGGGCAGCCUCCCCGCGGGGGCCGACGGUGGCGGGUGGCGGAGGGGAGCUCUGCCAUGUGUGUCUGCCCGAUGGGUGUGCGCACGCAUGUGCGUGUCUGUGGGAAGGACAGACGGCUGAGAAGAGAAUAAAGCGAC
rnacentral:lncRNA from 1 species